rnacentral:lncRNA from 1 species
UCUGCAAGUUCGAAUCAAAAAUUACAAUAAAUUAAAAUUUGAGAACCUAAAGUGUCACCUACCUCAUAGUUUGAGGACCAAACAUGCAAUUUAUCCUUGAAAUUACAUUACUGUAACUAACAACUAAAACGACAUAAAUUACCUUACUAUUACUAGUUAAAUAUCAUUUCUCUUUCCUCGGCAAACAUAGGACAAAGAAUGUCACGACCCGCGACCACCCGCCUAUUUGGCCGAGGUCCCGGCGCCGCCGACACGCCGAAUGGACAGGGUUUCCCCUGUACUACGGACAGAGUCUCCCCUGUACAUUCAAGGCAUCGCAAUCAAUACAAUACGAGAGGUUCCAACCAGGAACAGGUAUUCAACCAUAGAUUGCAUAAGGAGUAUCAAAAACAUAAACUACUAAGUUAUUACAGCACUCAACUUAGAUGCAUUUUACAACAUAAUUUUUCCUUUUACAAUCAACCUCCAAAUACAAUUAUAAUUAUUACAGAUUCUUUUACAACUUAAACAAAAAUUUGUUCUUGUCUUUAAACCUCCCAAGCUAGACCACCAACUCGGGUACUGCUAUCUCAGUCUCUGGGUAGGACGCUAUCUGCAGAACUACGUCCUCGCCUUGCGCCGCCGCGCCGCACACGUGUGUACCUGUACCCCCAAAACAGCAACACGGGGGUGAGACUAUUGUCCAGAGUCCUCAGUGGGUUUAGCCAUCCAAGAGAACAAGCUCAGCCAACAGGUCUAACGAGGCACUGCAACAUGUUAGAUCAACAAUAUACAACAGAUAUAUAUAUUCAAUUGAAAUACAUGUCCUGCCUCACGAAAUGCAAUAUGCAAUACCUGUAAUCAUGCAAGUAGGUUACUUUAACACUACUUAUGUUCUUGAUCAUUAUUUACUCUUUAGCUAUUCAAUGCUUACUUUUAGCUCUUAGCUAUUCCUUUCUUUAGCUAUUCAUUAUUCUUUAGCCAUUCUUUGUUCUUUAGCUAUUCUUUACUCUUAACAUUCUUGAACCAUGCUAUAUUUUAUCCUUUGGCAUGCUACUCUAAGGUCACUUUACCUUAGUCAACAAAGCCACCCGACUCGGUCUUGAGUCAAUCAAUCGCGGGUAGUCCGCGCACUGUCUAGCUCGAGGUGAAGGAACUCUCACAUGCACCUCAGCUGGCAACAGCUCACCGUACUCCUGUCCUAGCCGUCUGGCGGCGAACGAAUCGCACCUCACCCAACAACGGCCUAGGUUCAAUGACUUAGCCACCCGGCGGCGAAAUCGUCGCACACACGCCACGACAGUGGUUCAGUCAACAGGCGGUAGGA